GACGAACGCUGGCGGCGUGCUUAACACAUGCAAGUCGAACGGAAAGGCCCUGCUUGCAGGGUACUCGAGUGGCGAACGGGUGAGUAACACGUGGGUGAUCUGCCCUGCACUUCGGGAUAAGCCUGGGAAACUGGGCCUAAUACCGGAUAGGAGCCAUUUUUAGUGUGAUGGUUGGAAAGUUUUUUCGGUGUAGGAUGAGCUCGCGGCCUAUCAGCUUGUUGGUGGGGUAAUGGCCUACCAAGGCGGCGACGGGUAGCCGGCCUGAGAGGGUGGACGGCCACAUUGGGACUGAGAUACGGCCCAGACUCCUACGGGAGGCAGCAGUGGGGAAUAUUGCACAAUGGGCGCAAGCCUGAUGCAGCGACGCCGCGUGGGGGAUGACGGCCUUCGGGUUGUAAACUCCUUUCGCUAGGGACGAAGCUUUUUGUGACGGUACCUAGAGAAGAAGCACCGGCUAACUACGUG
rnacentral:rRNA from 1 species